rnacentral:rRNA from 1 species
UUAAAUUGAAGAGUUUGAUCAUGGCUCAGAUUGAACGCUGGCGGCAGGCCUAACACAUGCAAGUCGAACGGUAACAGGAAUCAGCUUGCUGAUUCGCUGACGAGUGGCGGACGGGUGAGUAAUGUCUGGGAAACUGCCUGAUGGAGGGGGAUAACUACUGGAAACGGUAGCUAAUACCGCAUAACGUCGCAAGACCAAAGAGGGGGACCUUCGGGCCUCUUGCCAUCGGAUGUGCCCAGAUGGGAUUAGCUAGUAGGUGGGGUAACGGCUCACCUAGGCGACGAUCCCUAGCUGGUCUGAGAGGAUGACCAGCCACACUGGAACUGAGACACGG